CAGAUGUCAUUUGGCUGUAUAGUCAAGAAGAUGAGUGGCAAACAAAUCGACACAGACCAAAUGGAACGCCAGAACUUACAGAUCCAGAAGUUCUCACUUUCAGAUGGAGAUUCAUUCUGA
rnacentral:lncRNA from 1 species